rnacentral:lncRNA from 1 species
GUUGUUUUUUUUGUAAAUCACUGAAUAACUGUGCAAAUUUUGCAUCGGAAAUGCAGCGUUUGUUUUUGUUUUAGAGAUUAUUAAUCUUUUUCAAGUUUUGUUACCACACAUAUCCUUCCUUUUUCAGAUGUGAUCUACUGUUGUUCAUGUAGCUCUUGAUAUCAAAUCAACUUGGUUAAAGUUUGGUUACUACAAAAUGAUCAAACCUUUCUGAUAUCGUUUUAUACAUUUUUUAUUUCACAUCCUUUGCCUUUUUUUCUUUUAAAAUUUGUUCAGGUAUGCUCAGCUCAAUAGUUAGUUCUUUGGUAAAGAACUUAUUCAGGUUACAACUCCCUAAGACAAAAUUGACUGUCGGAUAAUUUAUUUAUUCUCUGUGUGUGUGUCUUUGGUCAUAUAGCUCCUACGUGUCUACGUGUCAUCACAUUCCUGGCUUUAACUUGUUAAAAAUUAUUCAUUUUGGUUCAUUCGUAAAUACACUGGACGUUAAGCAACUAACAAUCAAUUAAUCAAUAGAUCGUUCAUUAGAACAGCAGUAUGUACGUCUGAAUGUAUUGAUAUACUUUGUCAUAGCUACAUGUAUG